GCCUGGGGCUCUCCCACAGGGGGCUUUCGUGAGCCAGGCAGCGAGGGCCGCCCCCGCGCUGCAGCCCAGCCAGGCCGCGCCGGCAGAGGGGAUCUCCCAACCUGCCCCGGCGCGCGGGGAUUUCGCCUACGCCGCCCCGGCUCCUCCGGAGCCGGGGCGCUCUCCCACCCUCAGGCUCCUCGGUGGCCUCCGCACCCGGGCAAAAGCCGGGAGGACCGGGACCCGCAGCGCGACGGCCUGCCGGGCCCCUGCGCGGUGGCACAGCCUGGGCCCGCUCAAGCGGGGCCGCAGGGCCAAGGGGUGCUUGCGCCACCCACGUCCCAGGGGAGUCCGUGGUGGGGCUGGGGCCGGGGUCCCCAGGUCGCCGGGGCGGCGUGGGAACCCCAAGCCGGGGCAGCUCCACCUCCCCAGCCCGCGCCCCCCGGACGCCUCCGCCUCCGCGCGGCAGGGGCAGAUGCAAGGCAUCCCGGCGCCCUCCCAGGCGCUCCAGGAGCCGGCGCCCUGGUCUGCACUCCCCUGCGGCCUGCUGCUGGAUGAGCUCCUGGCGAGCCCGGAGUUUCUGCAGCAGGCGCAACCUCUCCUAGAAACGGAGGCCCCGGGGGAGCUGGAGGCCUCGGAAGAGGCGCCUCGCUGGAAGCACCCCUCAGCGAGGAAGAAUACCGGGCUCUGCUGGAGGAGCUUU
rnacentral:lncRNA from 1 species